CUGGGCCACAGGACUCCAUGGCAGGGGCAGAAAGCCCACUGGGACACAUGGCAGGAGCAGCAUGGUGGCCUGGGUGUUUUCACAACAGUGGAAAACCGCAUUGUGUAAAGGAACAGUAAGCCAUGUGGGUAAAUGCGAACAGCAGUUUAAACGUGCAGGAAAGGAGCAUUUCCUUGUCUGCCCUGGUAAAUGGUUCUCCUACAGCCCCACGUGACGUGUCCUGUCUGCCAGCCAAGGAGGGCUGGCUGUGACAGCUUCAUGGCCCCUCAGCUCUGCUCCUCACAAUGAGCGUGAGCCUUGACAAGUCUGGAGGUCCAGCGGUGUCCAGCUGACUUGUGUGCUCUCUGGCAGUUGGGAACCAGCGCAGCGUCUGCCUGCAGCGUUUCCAGUGGUUGGAGGAGGACGAAAAGUGCACAGCCUCUGUUGCAUGAAGCUGACUUCCUGGGAUUGCUGAACGGCUGCCUUUUGCCACCUCCUGCCUGUCGCAUCGAACACCAGGGCGAAUUGGGUGGCUCUACAUGUAACACUACAACAAACGUGACAGACGAAGACCCAUCCCUGCGGAGCGGCACUACUCCC
rnacentral:lncRNA from 1 species